GCCGGUUCCUCUGUGCAAAACUUGAUGCAGCUUGGAUAGCAUCUCUAAAUUGCCUUGUUCGACUAGUUGCAUGAACAACCAAGUUGGUCAUAUUUCCAAUUAAAUAUGAUGUGAGUCCAAGAUCAAACAUCAUGUAGCACAUUACAAAUAUCAUCUCUCUUUCAUUUACUGCAUGCAGAUCACCAUAGCCAGUGGUAGUGAGCGUGGUUAUCGACCAGUAAAGUGAUGUCACAUAACGGGCCCACAAGCUUUCCUUCUCAAAGUGUAUCCAUACGGACCCAAUCCAUGUCUUUUCUGGGUCAUAAUAAGAUAAAGCAAGACGAUAGUAAAAGCAACCAGCAAUGUUAAUUACAAGGAGGGUAACACAAAUGAGCUUCAAGCACCGUACCCAAAAGUAGCUAAAGU
rnacentral:misc_RNA from 1 species